GACGGAGGAUGCAAGCGUUAUCCGGAAUGAUUGGGCGUAAAGCGUGCGUAGGUGGUUCGUUAAGUCUGAUGUGAAAGCCCUGGGCUCAACCUGGGAAUGGCAUUGGAAACUGGCGACCUAGAGUGCGGUAGAGGGUAGUGGAAUUCCCGGUGUAGCAGUGAAAUGCGUAGAGAUCGGGAGGAACAUCUGUGGCGAAGGCGACUGCCUGGACCAGCACUGACACUGAGGCACGAAAGCGUGGGGAGCAAACAGG
rnacentral:rRNA from 1 species